UGCCUUGAUAAUAAUGGACUGAACCUAUGAACCUGGCAUGACCGGCUCUGGGAGCUGAAGCUACAGAGGAUGAUAAGGAGGACUCUUGAAGUGGAAAAUGUGCCUCAGCCUCGGGAAGGAACUGCAUCCUGGAACUGGAGACCGGGAUGGACUCCAAAGAGGCCUUUCUGGCUCAUUCCGGUUCCCUCUGCACACCUGCCUCAGCCUGUGGUCGUUUAAAAAAAACAAAAACUACUCCUGACCAAAUUAGCUUUCUAAGCUGCCCGUGGCGGUUCAGACUCACCCUGCAUAAUGCAUGCAGUUGACCCUCCAUGGCUACAGGGCUCUGCACAGAUUGUUCGCACUCUGGAAUGUUCUUCCUCCUUUUCCACCUGACUGGCUUCUAAUCAUGCUUCAAAGAGUCAACUCAAAUGUCACAUUCUCAUGCACAGAAAGUAAUCUCUAGUCCGGGUCUCAUUUUACUGGGAAUUAAUC